CUGGCAACGAGGGAGAGACAGAUCUGAAUACUAAUGGCAACUGGAGGAGGGGGCACCUAAUCGUAUUUUGGCUAAUUGCCAGGUUGCCUGCUCUUGAAAAAUGUGCCUGUGCUGAGCUAGGCAUAUUUUAUUUUAUUUUAUUUUUCAUGUGGAGAAAAUUGGGUCCUCAUGCUUCCUCCAGUCAGCUGUGUGAAGGUUCACGUAGCCAUGAGGGCCGCACUCGCUGCCCCGCGAGGCCUUCGGGCCUUCUUGGAAAGGCUUGGAGCAGCUGGUCAGACCCAGGGAAGAAAUUGCAAUUUUGGAGAGGAGCAGAUGCAGAACAAAAGUCUCUGAUGAUUUGCCUGCUUCAAAAGGUCCCCACUGAUUUUACCUUUGGGUCUGUUCUACCAUCUCUCAUUGUUUCAUAUGCAGGUGCAGGCACUUUCUGUAGCUGGGCACAGAUACAGCCAGAGCUUUGAAGACCAAGACCUUGAACUAGCAGUGGAAACAGAUUAAAAACCCUCUUCAGCUUCCUAAAAUGCAACGCCUACAGUCAUCAGGACUUACGCGUGAGGCAACGAAUGAAAACAACCCUUAGGUUUUUAAAGGCUUUUAAAAAUUGUACAAGAAAUUCAAUAUUUUCUUUCCUUGCCUCCAAAUGAUUUCAAACUAUCGAUAUGGAUGCCUCUAAUUUCAAGGUUUUUCUUUUGGGAUAUAACAGAAUUUAGAUAGCCUCUCAGAAGUAUGGCCACGGGCAGGGGAAGAACGGACGUGUCCAGCGGGGGAAAUACAGCCAUCCAGCGGGAAUUAACAGAGCAGAAAGGAUUUGGAAAUUCUGGUUUCUGAAGCUUGCAGCAGGGCUGGAUUCAAGGGAUUUCUUCCACAGGAACACAGGCCCUAAAAGGUUAUUGAACUGUGGAAGCUCAUCUGAAGCAGAAGAGUGGCCUGGAGAGGGGCUUAGCUCACUGAGCUGUGUCUUUCCCCCUUGCACACAGCCCGUGUCUCAGUUUCCCCACGUGCAGAGCACAAGGACUGCCAGUGAUGGUCUUUUGCAAAGCCCAUUUGAGAUCCAGCAAUGAAAAGUGACAUGGCCGUCUGGGUAUUGCUGUCAUUCGCGGCAGAAUUAGCAUGGUCCAAAGCCAGAGCGAGCCCUUCCACAUGGCGGGUUAAAACCCUGAUUUUUGGUCCAGGUUCUGAGAUCCCCCACCUUUGGCACAGCCAGGCUGGCGUGCAAGAGCUGCCUCGCUGGUGAGGUGCUGAUGUGGGGCCCGACCCGUCCUACCCCAGGGUAGCACGGCCACCGCCAUCCACAUCCUCACACCACUGCUUUGGCCUUCCCACUGGCCACAGCUCUCCUUCUGUAACACCUGGGUGCACACUGGGGUCGCUUGUUCGCUUUAGUAAUGCUUUGUGGGGAAACUGAUCGGGCUGCACAGUGGCUGUAAAGUAGAACAAACAGGGUAAGAUGGGAGUAUUUCUGUAUAGGGUGAUAACUGGCUAAGAUGGGAGUAUUUCUGUAUAGGGUAAUAAAUGGGGUAAGAUGGGAGUAUUUCCUUUAUUAUUGAAAACUUGUGAAGCUUCUCUUUUUUGCUGGCUCUUGGGUCCUGAAGGAUUGCACUGUGUGCCUCCUGAGCCAAAUGAUAAAAUUAAAGAAAUUUAAAGAAAAAAAUAAUAAAAAAUUAAAGCAAAUUAAAAUAAAGGAAAAUGAAAGAAAAAUGAAAGAAAUUUGGUAAAGAUAAAGAAAAUAAGGAAAAGAUAAAAUAUGAGGAAGAGAUAAAAUGUAAGGAAAAGAUAAAAUAUGAGGAAAAGAUAAAAUAAGAUAAAAAUAAUUUUGAAUAAAGAUAAAAUAAAGUAAAACUAAACUAAAAUAAAGCAAAUUAAAAUAAUACAAAAUUAAGACAAAGUAAAGUAAAAUAAGGUGAAAUCAAGUAAAAAUUCAAGAAAUGACAUUUUAAAAUAUACAAAGGACCGGGACAGGGGUGUCUCGCGGACAGGCCCCCUCGUUUCCCUCCGAGCCGCCCCGGCGGGGACUGGCGGGGGGCCGGGGGCUGCCGUGGCUGCGCGGACUCCAAGGCCCGGCGUGCGGCGGGGCGCUGCGCAGGCGCGGGCCGUGAGUGGCAACUUGUUUGUGCGGCCGGCCCCGCGCGGCUCGGCUCGGCCCCGCUCCGCUCCCUGCCCCUGCCCCUGCCCCGGCCCCGCUCCGCGCCCCCCCCCGCAACUUUGGCCCCCCCCGCCCCCGGAGCCGGGCAGGGGGAGAGGAGCCGGGCGAGGAGGAGGAGGAGGAGGAUAAGGAGGAGGUGGAGGAGGGAAGGAGAGGAGGGGGAGGGAAAAAAAAAUAAUAAUAAAAGCAACGGCAACACAAAAAGCGAGCACGGGGCGCCGGCAGUAAGAGCCCCCCCCCCCCUCCCCUCCCAGCCCCCCCAUUAACGCCGGGGCUAGAUGAACUA
rnacentral:lncRNA from 1 species